rnacentral:rRNA from 1 species
UGAGUAACCUGCCCUUAACUCUGGGAUAAGCCUGGGAAACUGGGUCUAAUACCGGAUAUGACUCCUCAUCGCAUGGGUGGGGGGUGGAAAGCUUUUUGUGGUUUUGGAUGGACUCGCGGCCUAUCAGCUAGUUGGUGUGGGUAAUGGCCCACCAAGCCGACGACGGGUAGCCGGCUGAGAGGGUGACCGGCCACACUGGGACUGAGACACGGCCCAGACUCCUACGGGAGCAG